UACGUAGGUGGCAAGCGUUAUCCGGAAUUAUUGGGCGUAAAGCGCUCGCAGGCGGUUUCUUAAGUCUGAUGUGAAAGCCCACGGCUCAACCGUGGAGGGUCAUUGGAAACUGGGAGACUUGAGUGCAGAAGAGGAGAGUGGAAUUCCACGUGUAGCGGUGAAAUGCGUAGAGAUGUGGAGGAACACCAGUGGCGAAGGCGGGUCUCUGGACAGUUCCUGACACUGAGGCACGAAGGCCAGGGGAGCAAACGGG
rnacentral:rRNA from 1 species